GAUGAACGCUGGCGGCGUGCUUAACACAUGCAAGUCGAACGGUGAAGGCGGAGCUUGCUCUGCUGGAUCAGUGGCGAACGGGUGAGUAACACGUGAGCAAUCUGCCCCUGACUCUGGGAUAAGCGCUGGAAACGGCGUCUAAUACUGGAUACGAGCUGCGAAGGCAUCUUCAGCAGCUGGAAAGAACUUCGGUCAGGGAUGAGCUCGCGGCCUAUCAGCUUGUUGGUGAGGUAACGGCUCACCAAGGCGUCGACGGGUAGCCGGCCUGAGAGGGUGACCGGCCACACUGGGACUGAGACACGGCCCAGACUCCUACGGGAGGCAGCAGUGGGGAAUAUUGCACAAUGGGCGAAAGCCUGAUGCAGCAACGCCGCGUGAGGGACGACGGCCUUCGGGUUGUAAACCUCUUUUAGCAGGGAAGAAGCGAAAGUGACGGUACCUGCAGAAAAAGCGCCGGCUAACUACGUG
rnacentral:rRNA from 1 species